CAUGGGCUAGUCCACCAUCCAGAUCAGAGCUGUAAAUACAAUCAAGGCUGUCUAAUGGCAGAGUUGUUAGUUUGGCACUGUUGAUCAGCACAGAUUUGGAUAAAAAUGUCAAGACAGGAGAAGGAGCAUACUGGAAUCUGUUCUGGAUGUUCAAAACUGAUCACGAAUGCAAUCUGCUGCUCUCUUCCCAUCCACAUUGACGGGCAACAGUGAAGGAACUCAGCUGUGUGGAACCUUGAAGAAAGGAACAGAGAAUGGUGUGAUCUGUGGCAACUGCAGUUAGAUGGUUGAGCCAUCGUGUGAUCAAUGUCAGAUAUCUUAAAUCUGCACAGACAAGCUAAUCACCUUUUACCCACUGUUCCCCGCCUGUUUCCACACAUCUACUAACUGCCGCGUAGAUAAUAAGGUUGUACUUUUCUAUAAAAGUUCUAUAAAUGUAUUGCAGGUAUUCUAAGGUAGCAGCGUGACAAGUUGGUUUUGAACUGAUGUAGCUAGCUAGCUAUGUUUUGUGUACAAAUGUAGGACUGGCAUUUGGACGUCAACUAGCUAUUGUUAGCUAGCGUUUGUGUCGAUGUCAGCUGUUGUUGUCUGCUAGCUAGCUAAUGGCUGAAGUUAUUUGUGUAACAAAAUUUCCAUAAACAAUUACAGCUAGCUACAUUUAUUUGCCUUUUUGUUAGCUAGCUAGCUUUCAGGUGACUUGUGUUAGCUAGCUAGCUACAGAGGCUAGGUGUUAGACUUUGGACAAGUAAGCUAAUGUUAGCUAAUAGAGCUGUAUUGUUGCCAAGCCAAGUUCCUGACAAGCUUAGAUAGAACUCAGAGAUUUGGCUAAAAGAAAUUAGCAAUACCAGAAAUACUACAAAAAGGUAGCACAUCAUUGAUUCUUAAUGGAUGGAAAUGUGCACGUGAGAGUGAUAAAUUAUAAAUGUAAUAAAAAAUGUGUCAAUCUGAAAA